rnacentral:lncRNA from 1 species
UCGUCUUAGGCGAAUGUUGAAGAUAUGAAAGGCUAGAGGAGGUCUCUGAUGAUGAGCUCAUUGCCAAUGUAGGGGAAGAGACAGAAGAAUAAAGGGCACACCGCAUGUUGGUGGCGGUUAGCAUGCUAGUUUGUGAACCACAAGUGCAUGGAUCAUUGUAGUUUUUCCCUUAGAGUAUUCCACCCAAGGUUUAUUAAUCCGUGGAUUGGCAGCGAACUGACUAAGAUUUUCCAUCGAAUCUAAUGGAUCAAUCCUAACAUGAAGUAUUGAUUGCACAUGAGGGAAAACCAGAUGUAAAGAUUAAUGGUUUGAACAAGGGUAGAUCGCAUCCACAGAUAUAUAUGAGACAACAUCACCAAGAGCAGCAAGAGUCUAUCAUCUUCUAGUUGCAGUUCUAACCAAUGAGCCAACACAUCAUGCAUGUCAUCCAAAGCAAUCUUUAAACUAUUACCUUCGAUCAACCUCCUGAAAAU